rnacentral:tRNA from 1 species
GUCCUGAUAGUAUAAACAUUACACUGGUCUUGUAAGCCAGAAAUGAAAUAACAGUUUCUCAGGACA